rnacentral:rRNA from 1 species
GACGAACGCUGGCGGCGUGCUUAACACAUGCAAGUCGAACGGUGAAGGGGCCUGCUUUUGUGGGCCCUGGAUGAGUGGCGAACGGGUGAGUAACACGUGAGUAACCUGCCCCCUUCUUCUGGAUAACCGCAUGAAAGUGUGGCUAAUACGGGAUAUUCUGGGUCUGUCGCAUGAUGGGUCUGGGAAAGAUUGCGCCUUUGGGUGUUUUUGGUGGGGGAUGGGCUCGCGGCCUAUCAGCUUGUUGGUGGGGUGAUGGCCUACCAAGGCGGUGACGGGUAGCCGGCCUGAGAGAGUGGACGGUCACACUGGGACUGAGACACGGCCCAGACUCCUACGGGAGGCAGCAGUGGGGAAUAUUGCACAAUGGGCGCAAGCCUGAUGCAGCGACGCCGCGUGAGGGAUGGAGGCCUUCGGGUUGUAAACCUCUUUCGCAAGUGAAGCAGGCCUGCUCCUUGUGGGUGGGUUGACGGUAGCUGGAUAAGAAGCGCCGGCUAACUACGUG